AGAGUUUGAUCCUGGCUCAGAAUCAACGCUGGCGGCGCGCUUAACACAUGCAAGUCGAACGAGAAAGCCCGCAAGGGUGAGUAAAGUGGCGUACGGGUGAGUAACACGUGGGUGAUCUACCUCUUGGUGGGGAAUAACCCUGGGAAACCGGGGCUAAUACCGCAUAAGACCGGAAGGUGAAAGGAGCAAUUCGCCGAGAGAGGAGCCCGCGGCUGAUUAGCUAGUUGGUAGGGUAAAGGCCUACCAAGGCGAAGAUCGGUAGCCGGCCUGAGAGGGCACACGGCCACACUGGCACUGAAACACGGGCCAGACUCCUACGGGAGGCAGCAGUGGGGAAUCUUGCACAAUGGGGGAAACCCUGAUGCAGCGACGCCGCGUGAGCGAUGAAGCCCUUCGGGGUGUAAAGCUCUUUCGGCAGGAACGAUAAUGACGGUACCUGAAGAAGAAGCUGCGGCUAACUACGUGCCAGCAGCCGCGGUAAUACGUAGGCAGCGAGCGUUGUUCGGAGUUACUGGGCGUAAAGCGUGCGUAGGCGGUCUUGUAAGUCUGGUGUGAAAUCUCCCGGCUCAACUGGGAGGGUGCGCCGGAAACUGCAAGGCUGGAGUAUGGGAGAGGUAGGCGGAAUUCCUGGUGUAGCGGUGAAAUGCGUAGAUAUCAGGAGGAACACCUGUGGUGUAGACGGCUUACUGGACCAUGACUGACGCUGAGGCACGAAAGCGUGGGGAGCAAACAGGAUUAGAUACCCUGGUAGUCCACGCCCUAAACGAUGCAUACUUGGUGUGGGCAAUUCAUUUUGUCCGUGCCGGAGCUAACGCGUUAAGUAUGCCGCCUGGGGAGUACGGUCGCAAGGCUGAACUCAAGGAAUUGACGGGGCCCGCACAGCGGUGGAGCAUGUGGUUUAUUCGACGCACGCGAGANNUACU
rnacentral:rRNA from 1 species